rnacentral:rRNA from 1 species
UACGUAGGGCGCAAGCGUUGUCCGGAAUUAUUGGGCGUAAAGAGCUCGUAGGCGGCCUGUUGCGUCCGCUGUGAAAUCCCGGGGCUCAACCCCGGGCCUGCAGUGGAUACGGGCUGGCUAGAGGCAGGCAGGGGAGAACGGAAUUCCUGGUGUAGCGGGUGAAAUGCGCAGAUAUCAGGAGGAACACCGGUGGCGGAGGCGGUUCUCUGGGCCUGUACUGACGCUGAGGAGCGAAAGCGUGGGGAGCGAACAGG